rnacentral:sRNA from 1 species
CUCUGCCUCCCUUCCUCUCUGCCUACAGGAUAGAGAGCUCUGUCCAAACAGGUGACUGGGAACGAAACAAGAAGGCUCCUUCCUGCAUGGGUCUCAGCUGUGUGAGUCACUUGCCGGAUGCAGAGGGACCUUUUCUCCCUCAGGAAACACUUAGCUUCCUGAAGGGAGAUCUUCGUGGUGAGAGGGAGUGCUCAGAGGCUGGGGUCCUUCUCUCUUGCCCUGCCUGGCUUUGUGGUUUGCAAGAGGAGCCCUGAGGCAACAAGGCAAAGAGGCAAGAUUUCUCCCCAAUGCAAAGAUCUGCUGCCAGAGAAGCAGGAUAAACAGCCUGUCUGUGGUUUGCAAAUGGAGCUCGGCCUUGAGCAUGGGCAGACUCAACUUUGUGACAGACAUAUUGCCACCAUGACUUCUUUGCCAUAGAUUCCACCACAAGCCACAUCAAUGCAGCUGCCACAGGAUGAUCUCCAAAACUGCUGGUGUUGCUGUCACCAAGAAGGCAGAAGAAUGAAGCAGACGCCUCAAAGGGGGCUAAAGACAUCGAUGGAAAAAUAACAAAAUGAGAUUUGGCUCAUAGGGAGGAAGACAAAUUCAAUUGGGAAGAAAGUCUAAAACAGGAUAUUCCCCAGAGGGCAAGAGAGAGCAAUGCAGAAAUAAUGCUGUAAGCAGCUUGGGAACAGCGAGCUUAGCCAGAGGUUCCAUGGAAAAUGGCCAAGCUCCUGGAGAAGACAAGAAUUCCUGUGGAGGGAGCCCACCUCAACCUCUGCCAUUCUGGGAUACCUCAGAGACAUCAUGCUGAGCCUUGUAGGUCUCCGUAGCCUUGGACCUCUUGCCUAGAAAAAUGGGGGAGAAAAACCUGGGAAUUCCUUUUCAAAGUCAUCCUGACCUUUUGGGGACUGGAUGCCCAGUUCCCAGAGUCUUUAUCCCCGGGGAGGGCAGCAGAGCCAGGACAAGAUGGCCCUUGGUGAACUCUGGGAUGCAGGCCAGUCAGGCUGACUGAAAGGCACUCUGUUUUCUGGAUCCAGCGAAAGAAACAGCAGGUUUUGGAAAUGGGCUCCAGAAAGCAGGGAGGCAGGGAGGCAGGCUGCGCCCCUCUGUGAAGGGUGCUUUGCUCAAUCUUGCUUGGAGAUGCCAGUUAUUUUCCCUCUGAAGAAAAUCUGGAGCAGAAUGUUUGAGGCUCUUCUUGACUGGACAGAGCCCCUGUCCUGGUAUUUACUCUCUUGAGGAUACUUUGGUGGGUCUCCUAGGGUGGCCAACUUCCUCCAUGGGAAUAGAGGAGAUAGUGUCGCAAUUAGACACUCUAUUAAGACGAUUCUCCUUGGAUGUUUGUGUGUCCAAAAACAUGGACAUGGGUCAAAACAGCAACAUUAGGGUUUGGAUGUAGCUCAGAGCUUACCUGGAUAUGCGAAGCUCUAGGCUUAGUCCCCAGCACUGCAUCAACUGGGCACAUGUCUGCCAUCCCAGCACCCAACAGAUGGAGGCAGGUAAUUCAAGGUCGUUCUUGACUGCAUAGGGAGUUCAAGGCUAGCCUGGGCUACAUGAAACUCUAUCUCAAAACAAACAACAGCAAAAAUCCCCCAGCAGCGAGAGGUCAGCAAGCAGGAGGCAGGAGACCCAUCUAGGGUCUCAAGUCUAAUUCAGUGAGAGGUCUGGCUGGCUGGUCAGGAACUUUGUGUCAGAUGGUUAAUUCUGAACUAGCCAGACACUGACAUGUGAAAUGCCAAUCACUGGAGCUACCAGUUUUACAAGAGAGUAGUGUGUACUCAUGGAUGUCUGGGCCUGAGGGGACAGGAAACUCAGACCUCCCCAUAACCUCCCUGAGGAAGGACCCGGGGACAGUCCUGGCUGAGGUGUAGGGAGGGGCGGCUGGAAAGUAAAAGGCAUGGUCUCAGCAUUUAUCCUGCUUCUCUGUCACUCCGCCAGACUUCUAUCUGGGGCGACAUUGACAUCCCUUCUUGACCCCCAUUUGUAAGCAGAAGGUAUGCUAGAAUAUGAAGUCUUCCUGGAACUCACUCUAUAGAUCAGACUGGCCUCGAACUCACAGAGAUAAUCAUUCCUCUGCCUCUGAAGUGCUGCCAUUAAAGCCAAGUGCCACCAUCAGCCAGCUCAGUCUUCCCUUUGAUGAAGUCAGUUUUCAGUGUCUGUCAUUCAAAAGCAACGACUGUGUAUCCUCUCCACCAGACAUGGAGGUACCAGGAGUCCCUGGUGUCCUUGUCCUGGGAUGCCCAGUGGUUUGGCUCCUAAGGAGCACUUU